CAAUGACCUGAGCUUGCUCUCAUUUUUCCUAUGAAGAAUUUCAGCCUAGGAAUCACAAUGGCUAUAUGAACAGCUUAUGGAGGUCUGGCUUACAUGCCCAGCACCAGGAAGGCUUCUUUCUUGGCAUAUCCUUGCUACUAAAGCAGCUGGUAUGUUCUUUAACAAUUGAUUCUAAAUUUGAUCAGCAUCAUAUUCAUGGUAAAAAAUGUCAUCAAAAUUUUGCUGAAAGAGUGGAGGUGGCUGUACACAUUGAUUUAAAGGAUUUGCUGUCAUGCACACGAAUUUCUUAACAAUUUAUUUAUUGCUCAUGGCUUUCUGAAAUAAAUAGUCGUGACGUGUUUAUCUAGAAACCCUCCUUUGCCAUUGUUACUUCUGGAAAUUCUUUGCCAUAAGAAAUGCCACCAUUCUUAUGGCAAGCUGAAAGGCACCUUAAGGCUUUGAGCUAGGUUAAGAAAUUUAUAGUCUUUUGGUAGACAAGCCAUUGUUCUAUUUAUGCUUUUUGACAUAAAUCUGGUUCCAUAGUCAAAAUGUUACUUCUCCUCUAUUUUCCAUUUCAUGCUAGCCCCGGUCCCUACACUCACAAAUCAAGACAUUCUUAAGAGAUACACAUAUCACAUACUGACUCCAUAGUUCAUUAUUCAUCAUAUUCUAUUGGCUUUUUAACUCUAUAGUGCCUCCUUUGUCCUUUGAAUAAACUUAUUUAAUCUUCAUUUUUUAAAACAAAUUUUUGUUUUGUUUCAUUGCUGAUGCACAACCUUAUACUAUCUGUUCUGGCUAGGCCAGACAAAAGUCCAUUUGGAAGCACCUUGGAAACCAUGAAGGUUUUGCUUUGAAGAUCAAAAUCCUGGCUAUCUGUAUUGCUUGGAAACCAUGAAGGCAUACAGUAGGAAAAACCUUUGAGUAGGAUCCAAAUCCUAGGAGAAAAAAAUUUGCGUUUUUUGCCCCCCUAAAGAAAAGAUGAGUACUAUCGGAACACUUGAAUCAACUAAUGUUGUGCUAUUAUGCUUUACUUCUUCCUUAACUUUGGCUCCCGCCUUAUUUUCUGUUUCCGUUCUCUAUCCUUAUCUUAGAGGUCCAGCUCAAAUAUCUAAAAUGAAUCUCCCUUUUUUAUACUCGUGUAAUGUCCUUUUCUCAUUAUCAUCUCCCCCCUAUCCCAAGUGUUGGAUCUAGGAUUUUGUGUAUACCAAGGCAUCCAAGAUUAUUUGGAGCUUGAUCACGCUAGUCUUUGGGGUUUAAAAUUAUAGUCACGGUAGAUUGCGAGCUACAACUAGAUGUCAUUUGACUAUGUUUUCUUUUCUUAACUACAAGCUUGUGAAAGCGUGGCUGGGAACUAGAAUCAAGUUCCCUCACAUAUUUGCUCCUUGUUCCUGCAAGUUAUAUUGAACGCCAUGUGGCUUUGUAUUGAAUAUGCUUCAGACAAUAUUUAUGAAAAAUCAACUUGCCAAUCGUACUUCAUAAUCAAGCUUCGAUCUAUAUGUGAUUGGCUGACAACAAUGCUGGAAAUUCCUUCUUCAGGGAAUUACUUAAAUUUGUUGUCAAAUGUUGGAAGAAAAACAAUUCAAAAUCCCCCUUCGCCGCCUGCUCGCUUAUUGUUGCCAAUUAUUUGAUGGAUGCUCAUGCUCCAGGCACUGCGAUCACGUGGACUUGCUCAUACGUCCAUGUAACUGGGCCUGAUAUUGGAUUGAUGUGCUCUUACACCAAUUUUAACAAGUGGAAUUCUCCCUAAAACUAGAUCAUGGGCUUACUGAAGUGAAAGAAGCAUUAAAGGUAGAGAAAUGAAAUAUUACGAUUUUCGUUAGAUUGUGACCCAUACAAACGGAGCUAACAACACUAGAAUGGCAACAGAAGCCAAAGCCGAUUGUAUCCUAAAAAUUCCAAGGAGAGUUUGGAGGCUUAAAUCUAACUCGUGGCAAGCAUAUAGACACAAACUCCCGAGUCAGCUCUUCACUAUUAACUUCCUACUCCUAUGGAUUAUAGAAACCUGUCAUUUCUGUUGAUGUUUGUUGCACUUGUAACUGAUCAAAAUGCGUUGAUAUGUUAGAGCUUGAAGCUAGCUUUGUGAAC